rnacentral:rRNA from 1 species
UACGAAGGGUGCAAACGUUGCUCGGAAUUAUUGGGCGUAAAGCGCACGUAGGCGGCAUUGCAGGUCGGAUGUGAAAUCCCUCGGCUUAACCAAGGAAGUGCAUCCGAAACUGCAGUGCUUGAGUACUUAAGAGGAUCGCGGAAUUCCCGGUGUAGAGGUGAAAUUCGUAGAUAUCGGGAGGAACACCAGUGGCGAAGGCGGCGAUCUGGGAAGAUACUGACGCUGAGGUGCGAAAGCGUGGGGAGCAAACAGG